CGCACACCGUAUCUGCGCCGCAGCUUCUGUCGCUCACGCCCGCGCGGAGCUCCCUUCCUCAACCGCCUAUUCCCCCACGCCGCCCUCAAAAUCGGGAGGAUCCAUAGCACGCCGUAGUUCCUCUCAAACAGGCCCGAUGCCCUCCUCCCCACUCCUCCCUCUCGCCCAACCGGAGUUCGCAACGUCGUUCAUGCUGGACCUGCCCCUUCGCUCGUUCAUGGUGAGCUCGCCCCUUCCUCUCUCAAUCCCUCUCCUCGCCUCUUGCCGUACUCGACAUGGCGCUAACUCGACGUACCCGGAGCCCGGCCGAACCAGCCGAACCCAGCCCCUCCCCAGGCGAAGCCCGGCGCCCCGGCACGGUGGCCAGCGGCGUGGCCGGCUAGCCGCCCCUACUCCCUGGCGCGCGCACCUCGUCCUCGCUUGUGCCCAAGGCGUGCUCCCCAGCCACCCUCUCUCCUCUACUGUGCUGCUGUAGGCACAACCAACUCCAUGGUUGCUGUUGUUACUCCAAGCCUGAAGCCCCACCCGACGAGGCCCCUGCCCACGACGAGCUAGCCCCUGCAUGCGGCCCCCAGGGCAGCUGUCGUCGCCGUCAGCCCUAUCCUCCGUUGAGCUACCACAGACAAGCCCGCCCCGCCGUGUGUGCCCCCUACGUGAUCCGGUUUUUGUGUUGCUGCAAUUCAUGCACGGAGCCAAGGAGAGAGGAGAAACCGUUCGUGCGUGAUAUUGAAGAAGAAACCGUAGUGGCCCCACCUGCAGUUUUUUUAUUAUUACUUUUUAUUUCCUUUCCCCACGAUGAAGUAUGCACGUAGUUGAAUGGCUCACCACUCACGUAGAAAAAGAUUUGUGCAGGAUUGGUUGCGGCCACGAUUUUGUGGUACUCCUUGUGGUUUCGGCUCAGCCAACUAAAAUACGCUACCUCUUCUUAAAUACGCGAACUAGUAAAUAUUCAAUAUAUAUUUUACGUCAUAGAUCCAUUUUGUCUCGUUCCGGUUGUGUUAGAUUUGUAACGACAUGUUAAUAAUAUUGUUUCAUCGUUUCACAUAUUUUAGCUAAUUUAUUUUUAGUAUAAAAACAACAUUUAGUUAGUGAUUCUCGCAUGCUCGCAUUCUGCUUCGCGCAUCACGCGUCGCUCACGUAUGUCGCGCGUUGUCCGCGCCUACCCGCCUGUACUGUUCGCGUACGCUGUCACCGCCCAUUCCACGCGUGUCACGUGUUGUGCUCUAUUCUACGAGUAUCGUGAGUUCGAUCUGUACGAUGUUCGCGCGUGCUGUUCACGUGUCGUCGUUCGUGCGAGUCGCGAUUCGCGCGCUUUAAUAAAAUUGUUUAUUCGUCACGAAUUGGUAACUAUUCAAUAUAUAAUGCGCCAUAAACCUGUUUCUAUUUGUUUCAGUCGUGUCAGCUUUGUAGCAACACCGAUUUCAUAUUAGUAACGUACUUUAUCAUGUCACAAGUUUUAAUUAUUUAAUUAGUUGUUCAUUCGACACUUAUUAAAUAAAAUGACCUUCUAAUUAAAAUUAGUUUAUAUUUUUAACUCGCACUUUUAUAAAUAUAAAUGUUAACUCGAUGAAUAUCAACUUAAAUGCUUCUCAGUUAAUACUUGUUUAGUAUAAUCGUGUUAUCUGUUAGCGAUUAUCAAGCGUCGUCGCAUUGUCUGCGCGUUGUAAGCGCGUGAUGUGCUGGUGGUCGCGUGUCGCGGUGCUGUUUGCGCGUGUCGCACACCGUCGUUUGCGUGCGUCGCAUGUGCCAUUUACCGGUGUCGCUUGCCUUGCCAUGCGUCGGCGCGCAUCACGCGUGUCGAUCACGUGGGUCGCGCGACAUCUACGCUUGAUAAUAAAUUGUUUUCGCCUAUAAACACUCAUGUUAAUAAUGGUAAUUCAUCAGGUCACAUAUUUUAGAUAAUUAACUUAGGCUUUGCUCGACUAAUGUCUAUUAGAUUUAUUUUCCAAUUAGAUUAAAUGUGUAGCGUUCAACUUGUGAUUUUAUAAUAAACAUUAACAUGGCUAAUAUUAACUUAAAUAUCUUUAUCUAUUUAAUCUUUGUUUAGUAUAAACGCGUCUCCUGUUUAGUUCUCUCGCCUGUUGCGCGUGCUGUUCCACACGUGGUGGCGUGCUGGUUCGCACGUCGUUCGCGUUGGUCGCGCGCACUAUUUUCGUGCGUCGUUAGCGUGUUUGGACGUCGUUUCGCACGCUGCCGCGUUGUUCCGCGCGUCGUAAAUUCGCCCCGCUUAGAAUCUCUCGUUUUAAUUAAAUUACUUAUUUGUAACUAACGACUGUUGGUGUAGCAGAUUAAUCGAAACUAGAUAGUAGUUAUAAUUAAUAUGAUUAUGUCAAAUUAAAAUACUCUAAUUAAUACUUGUUUAGCAUAAACGCGGUACCUUCUCGACCGUAGCUUCAGCCGUCGCGUUUCUUAUUCCUGCGUAACCGUAGAAGUGCUCUCUAUUUUUAUAUUGCUCGUUUUGAUAAUAUUUUAUCUUGUAUGGUGUAAUGUUCUUAUGCAAAUAUAUGUUUGCUUGUGCCUGUUUGUAUUCGUUGCACGUCGUGAAUAGAUUGCGAUCUAUUCCUGAGCUUCGAGGAAUCGACGAUCAAUAUUUGGUGAACCGCUGGUGCCGAGAUCAAGUUCUUCGAGUUCUACGGGGUUGAAGACCCUGAGCAUAUGUUUGGUAAAGGCAAGUGUCCUCUGACCCAUUAUGUCCCAUUUAUUUUAUAAUACACUGUCCCGCAUACUAUGAACAACCUAAGGAUUUACUAGCUUUCUAUUUACCUUGUCCUUGAUUUACCUUUUGGGUUACUAUGGUUAGCUACAUGCUAGCGCUUUACUUUAAUCAAUGAACACGAUGAGAUACAAUGAUAAUACUAUGAUUUUAUUCUGGAUAUGAUGAUAUACUUGUGGCAUUUAGGGGACUCGGGUUGUUUCCCGAGUACCUCUCCGUAAGGACCUGUUCGUUGAGAGACCACCCGGGAUAACAGUGCAACCAUGAGGGUGAAAUGGGAUGCCCUUAGCUAAUUAAUUAGAGGAACUAGAGGUGUUGUUGCUUCGCUGUCGUGCCGUCAAUGGUGUCCAGGCACAGUGCUUGCUCUGCCGAGGCUGAGUGUCGAGGUUCUUUCGUUUUGCUUUUGUUAGUCACCCUCCUGCGGGGAGAGGUACUGUGUUUAUCAAACUGGAGAAACCUAACGGGCGGCUAGUACCUCUAGGGAAUCUUUGUAAAGGCUACGUAGUGAUACCCUGCUGGACCACCUAGGAAGUGAUCAAUGGGGAGUCAUGAUCCCCGGGCAAAAUGGGAAUCACGGCUCAUGGGUAAAGUGUGCGACCUCUGUAGAGGGUAAUGAAACUGAUAUAUCAGCCGUGCUCACGGUUAAGAGCAGCCUUGUGAUCCUCUUUGAUUAGAAAUACUCUGGAUACGCCUCAGAUGAUGACUUUAGUGAUGAUGGUUAAUGAUAGUGACUUAUGAUGGUGACUUUAAUUAUGAAUUCUAGUAUUUCCUCUCUGAGGAGGUACUUUUUGGGAUUAUAACUUGGGUUUUAUGAUAAAAUCUGGCUUCUACUCACAAUAAAUAUCUGACCAACUAAAAGCAACUGCUUGAGCCUAACCCCACAUAAAAAGCUAGUCCACUUCAGCCAAACGGGGCAUUUGCUGAGUACGUUGAUGUGUACUCAUCCUUGCUUUACCACAAAACACCAGGUUGUCCACAUUGCAACCACUGCUCAGGAGAAGAUGAAGCCAUGGAAGGAGACUUCCAGGAGUUCCAAGACUACGACGAGUUCUAGGUGUGGGUUGGCGGCAACCCCCAGUCAGCUGCCUGUGAAGGCCCUAUCUUUACUGCGUUUCGCUUAGCACUUUGAUUUACCCGUUAAGUUAAUGACUAUGUGGAUGUCUCUGACUCUGUGAUGUAAUAAGUUAAUACUCUUUUAUGUUAUUAUUCGAGCACUAAGUGAUGAUGUUCAUUUAUGUAAUCGCUGUGUACGUGAAUUCUGAUCCUGGCACGUACAUAGUUCGCAUUCGGUUUGCCUUCUGAAACCGGGUGUGACAUAAGUGGUAUCAAAGCCGUGCUGACUGUAGGACCGCUAGCCUUGAGUAGCAUUAGCCGUUUUUAAGGACUUAUUGAUUAUUACUUCACCUCAUCCUUGAUGCUGUUUCAAAAUAUUAGUCACCUCGACCAAUUCUAUGUUGUGCUCCUAUAUGCCCCCUUGCCAAAAGUAUUUUAUUAUAGUAUGGUCUAUACUUCUCUCAAUCUAUUAGAUCUUAUCUCACUCUUGUGCUUGCGACAUCUUUGUAGAUGCCCCUGACAAUAACCUUCUUGUCUUUUGGGACUCUUUCCUCUUCCAUUAUUAAAUUGCUACCAUUUGACCCCUAUUCCAUUUUGUUAUUGACAUGCUCGUAUCCUUACCUUUAUAAUACCCUUAUCUUUUGAUCUAAAGUACUUACCCUUGUACCUUUGUUGCCUAUUUAAACAGUUCAGUUUUUAUGUCCUUGACCUUUCUGUCUUUUGAGACCUUUUCCUUUUCUGUUGUUAAGUCGCUAUCUUUCGGGAGUUUCUUGUCUCUUGGUAUUGGUAUGCUCAUCUCCUUGAAAUCUUACAUACUAUCAUCUUUUUAUAUGCUUACCUUUAUAUCCAACGUCUAUUUAAAACAUUUCAGUUUACAUGUCCUUGAGCACCCUUGUUUCUUAAUGAUCCAUGAGCGGUCAUUUUAUUUUGCACAUCCUUGGUGAUCUCGUUGUUUCCUUGUAACUUCCUUGGUAAUGAAUUUUUACUUCAACCCUUCUGUUGGAACCAUACCUAUCUUACCCUUGAUUAUUUUCCCCACUUCGCCACUUCGCGAGUCUUGGCUUAACUCUAUCCUUGUUUAUGCUUUUCACGAUUAUCAUCUUUACUCUUGUCACCUCUAUAUCUUACCUUGAUGCUUAUGUUAUACCUGUUCUUUAAAACCUUCUCUCUUCCAUCUCAAUUUUAUAGUUGUAUUUUACCUAUUUUCCCUUGGUCGUAUCCUCUUCCUUGUCGCUUGCGAGUUUUUAACCCCAUCCUUUGUUGUGCUCCGGUUGGGUACUACCUUUACCUUUCUCAUCUCUCAAUCCUACCUUGGUGAUUACACUAUGUCUGUUCUCUAAAAUCUCCAAUCUCCUAUCCAAUUUGAGAGCCGUGUUUUACUUAUCCUACCCUUGGCAAUAUCCUCUUCUUUAUCACGUGAAAGCCUAGACGUGACCCCAUUCCUUGUCGUACUCAUACCAUAGGCUAUUUAAUGCCUUCAUCUUUUCUCUCAUACCCUUGUCCGUUAUCGCCUUUCACCCUUGCGAUAUUUAUGUCUUCUACUUAAAUGCUUACCUUGAACUUAUCAUUUAGAAGCCUUCCCUUUCUUUCGACCCACCUUGAGGGCUGUGAGUUACCUAACUCUCCCCUGAUUUCUUUUCAUUCCUUGCUGCCUUACAAGUUUUGGUCUUAAUUCAAUCCUUUGUUGUGUAUUUUAUUUGCUAUCACCAUCUCCUUGUCAUCCCUCGAUCUUUACCUCGAGGCUUACCAUGUACCCACAUUUUAAAGCUUCCUCUCCCAUUUCAGUUCAAAAGUGUUGUCUUACCCACCUGCUCUUGGUCGUUUCCUUUUUCCUCUGUCACAUUGCAGGUCUUAGCUUUUGUUGGACAUCACCCUUACCUUUGUAAUCACUAGAUCUUGCCUCGAUGUUUACCUUGGGUCUGCUUUUUGAAAUCUCCUCUUUUCUAUCUCAACUCGAGAGUGGUGUUCUACCCAUUAUGCCCUUGGUCAUAUCCUUUUCCUGGUCGCUCACAAUGCUUGCUUUAACUCCAUUCUUUAUGGUGCUCGUGCCCCUAUCCUGCACAUCUUGUUCUUCUCCUCCUCCGAUAACUCUAGAGAGUAGUCAUUCCCUUUUCAAGAAAGACCACCAUUUAAUUAAAAGGAACGUAUAGCAACGAGAUGUUUCUUGAUGUGUGCUCAUGAUGGUUGUCCUUCUGCUAUGACUGAUUUGCUUCUUUGGAAUGAGUGUUGAUGUGUUGUGGCCCUUGGUCUGCAAUGGCAUCAGUUUGCUAGGUGAGUGUCAUAUAUUUAGGUAGUUGAGUUCUCUCCCCUGCUCUCUCUAAUCCGUCUAUACUUACCUUUUCUCUCUAUUCUUUCCUCUUGCACCUGUCCAUUUGGCAACCUCCAACUCCUCCAAAUCAGUCAAGAUCAGAGUUAGCAUCAUCUUCAUCAAGUGCAUAUCAAUGCUCAUGUUAAGGGGGUUAGCCGCUAACCCCAAUGAAGAUAAUGCGAUCAACAUCAACCAACAAGAUCGGAGUGGCGCAGCGGAAGCGUGUGUGGGUCCUAACCCACAGGUCCAAGAGGUCCUCAAGAAUUGCAUCAAUUGGUCUCGAGUAUCUGAAGGUCAAAGCAACAUCCCACAAGUAAAAGUUUCCAGAGUCAAAGUUGAGUCAGAAGAAGCUAUGAAAAGCCGAUGAACCAAUCUCAUUUUCUUGUUAGCUUCUUCUUGAAUCUCGAGGGCGAGAUUCCUGUUAAGGGGGUUAGAUUUGUAACACCCUGAAUUUAGGGGUAUAAAAUUUAUUUUCUAAUAUUCACCAAAUUCAGGUGUUAGUCUCUCUUUUCCUUGCUUUUAUUUUCUUUUUCCUAAAUAGAAGAGUUAUUUUUUAUAUCUAUGUGUAAGCCUAGUAAAAUAAAAUCUUAGAGGGACUUUGAUUGUUGCAUUCAUGCUGAUGCAUAGUAUUUAUGAGUGCAAAAUAUUAUCACAACAGAUUAAAAUAUCUCGAGGAUGUUCCUAAGAGUUUUUGGAAUCUUCGGAACGUUUCUUCGAGUAUUAAAUAUGAAUUUUAGUUUUUCUAAUAUUAAUUAAACUGUCAAAAAUUUAGUAUUUGCGAAAACUACAAAAUUUUGGAUACUCGAUAACAUAUGUAUAUAUAUUUUCCUCUCAUCGAGCCUGUUCUAGAUCUCGUGCCCUUUUUCGUGAGAUCACUGAAACGCUUCUCGCGAACGGCAUGCUGUUCGCGUCGGCUAUCCUCGUCUAACCCCGUCUACCUCUGACCGCGUGCAUUCGUUGUUGUUGCAAUGGCCAUUUGUUUCACACAUGUGUGCGACACGAACGCAGUCGCAACCAACUCGUUUCACGUUGCCUCGUCGCGCAAUGGUCCGCGCAACUGUCUGACCCCAUCCAUCCUCUCUAUAUAGGCGUAGAUGUUAUUUCGUCUAUUUUUUCCCGUUGCCAAAACCCCUUCCCCCAGCCCACUCCGCACGCUCACCUCCCCGGCCCAGCACCGCACCCCUGUGCCAUUGGCCCACCGAGCACGCACGCAGCCCAGCAGCCGCGCUGCACUGCACGCAGGUGCACAUCCACCAUGAAAUCCCCACAGCUCCGCACACCGUAUCUGCGCCGCAGCUUCUAUCGCUCACGCCCACGCGGAGCUCCCUUCCUCAAUCGCCUAUUCCCCCACGCCGCCCUCAAAAUCGGGAGGAUCCAUAGCACGCCGUAGUUCCUCUCAAACAGGCCCGAUGCCCUCCUCCCCAUUCCUCCCUCUCGCCCAACCGGAGUUCGCAACGUCGUUCAUGCUGGACCUGCCCCUUCGCUCGUUCAUGGUGAGCUCGCCCCUUCCUCUCUCAAUCCCUCUCCUCGCCUCUUGCCAUACUCGACAUGGCGCUAACUCGACGUACCUGGAGCCCGGCCGAACCAGCCGAACAAAGCCCCUCCCCAGGCGAAGCCCGGCGCCCCGGCACGGU
rnacentral:lncRNA from 1 species